CACUCCUAUCCUUAUCCUCUUCCUGACCUUUCCAUUUGGCUUUUCUUCAACCUCCAGUCGCGGCAUCCUCUGCUCUUCACAACCACGAUUUUCUCUCCUCCACGCUGCCCACGAACCACCACAAGCUCCUCUCACUGGCGGCCAUUGUUGUCGCAACCAGCUGCUGCUGGUGAACCAGCACGACCGGCGGUGAAGACGACGAGCUCCGAUGCUGCAACUAGAGAUUUUUAUUGCUAGAACCAAACGGCAGAAAAGCUGCAACCACUUUUGGCAGGUGCUGGAACCGGACGACGACGAGUUCGUUUUUGCUGGAACCUGCAAGAUGUUUUGCUGCAUGGGCACGGGAACACGAUGGUCUGAGCGGACGACGGCGAUGAGUGGAGUGGAGGCGGUGACGCGUGGAGAUGCUGCAGCCACAAUGGUUGCCAGCUGGAACUGGCCGGCGGGUGAGCUGCAGUCACCAAUGUAAGAAGCAUGGGGCCGGCGGGUGAGCUGCAGUCACCAAUGUAAGAAGCAUGGGGCGGCCGAGGGACGAGCGUGGUCGACACGGGUGGCUGGCGAGUAGGAGCAGCAAAACGGCGGGCAUGGGUGGCUUGGGGUCGCCGGCAAGCGUGGCUGGCAAGGGGGACGAACGCGGCGGCCGGCGAACACGGAGGAUUUCUUUUUGUUUUUAAAUCACGCGCGUUGACAGAAGGAAGGAAGGAGAAGGACCCGGAUCUGACGGUUGUAACAGGGCAAAUCGGACAAUAUGGGCAGCGACCGGCCCAAAUUUGGGCCGGCGCACCGGCGCCUAUCAUUGCCCUUUUAUUUUCCUCACCCUUUUACAUCAUGAAACAUAACUCGAUUUGAUGCCAUGUUUUGGUUGCCCAUGUUUUGAUCAAUGUUGGCAAGCAAACUUAA